UAAAGCGAUUCAGCGGGUUACGAUUGACGGAGCGAAGCGACGUCAAAGCGUAUACAAAGUCGAGUCGGUUUAAGGAUACGUUCGUUGGGUAGGGGAGCGUUCUGUAAGCCCGUGAAGGUGGCCUGUGAGGGUUGCUGGAGGUAUCAGAAGUGCGAAUGCUGACAUAAGUAACGAUAAAGCGGGUGAAAAGCCCGCUCGCCGGAAGACCAAGGGUUCCUGUCCAACGUUAAUCGGGGCAGGGUGAGUCGACCCCUAAGGCGAGGCCGAAAGGCGUAGUCGAUGGGAAACGGGUUAAUAUUCCCGUACUUGGUGUUACUGCGAAGGGGGGACGGAGAAGGCUAUGUUGGCCGGGCGACGGUUGUCCCGGUUUAAGCGUGUAGGUGUGUGUUCCAGGUAAAUCCGGUUCACUUUAACACUGAGGCGUGACGACGAGGCACUACGGUGCUGAAGCAACAAAUGCCCUGCUUCCAGGAAAAGCCUCUAAGCAUCAGGUAACACGAAAUCGUACCCCAAACCGACACAGGUGGUCAGGUAGAGAAUACCAAGGCGCUUGAGAGAACUCGGGUGAAGGAACUAGGCAAAAUGGUGCCGUAACUUCGGGAGAAGGCACGCUGACACGUAGGUGAAGUGAUUUACUCAUGGAGCUGAAGUCAGUCGAAGAUACCAGCUGGCUGCAACUGUUUAUUAAAAACACAGCACUGUGCAAACACGAAAGUGGACGUAUACGGUGUGACGCCUGCCCGGUGCCGGAAGGUUAAUUGAU
rnacentral:rRNA from 1 species